CGUGGGAAGAGGGACACAUGGUUUAGGUCAUUCAUCGCAAGAGAGUCCGGGGCGGGAGCCCAUGGUCUGACCCAAAAUCCCCGCCAGCUUGGCCGGCGAGUCGUUGACCGGGCGCUGCAGUGGGUCAAGGCAUUCCACAUCAUUCCACGAAUUUCUCAUAGCCCGCAAGGGGUCAGGUCACCCCCCGUCACCCUCUCUCUCUCUCGCUUGCUCCUUCCCUUGGCAAGCAGUGUGAAAGCAAACUUUGAAACGAGAGAGAAGCAGAAAAGGAGAGAGGAACAGAGAGAGACAAAGAGUGGGAGAGAGCCGUUGCAGCUUCGGCUUAGCCUCGUCGGUUUUAAGGGAGGAGGGCAGCAGAAACAGCAGCAGGCGAACAUGCUGAAACACACGUACGCCAUGUACCUACAUAGGUAUGUAUGUGUGUAUGUGUGUAUGUAUGGGAAGGAACAAGAAUGAAAGCAGGGUUUCGUUUCCUUUUUGUUUUCGCACAACGCAACAACAACAUCCCAUCCCAUCCCCUUCCCCUUCCCCGUAACCGAGCAAACUGCGCAUUAACAGAAUUUUCGCCACAGUCCACAGCCCACAAUCCGUCAUCUACAAUCCACAAUCCACACACCAAACCAGCCAGCAAUUUGCAAUCCAACAACAACACAACUCAACCUACUCGUAAUGUGUGCUUUAUUAUGCAGCUUAUCUACUUGCAUAUGCAACACAUACACUCAGCCAUGCAUGUGUCUGUGCUGUGUCUGCCUCUGCGGCUGCGUCCGUGCAUCUGUGUGGUGUGUGGGAAUUUUUUAUGAUGCUGGUAUGGAUAGCACUAGCCUGGCAGAUGACGUCAGGUCGCAGCAAUUACGAUAGUCACGACCAUUUCGAUAGGCGAUGCGCACGAAAAUAGCUUAUCGCUUAUCGAAAGCCAGAUAGAAGAAGAAAUAAAUUCCUUUCGCAUGGAUAUUGCAUGGAUAUAAAUCACGAUCAUAAACCGAUCAUACUCGUUGAAUCCACCAUGGAUAUACCCAAAACUAACGGGAAACUAAAUCCAUUAUCUGAUUGUACUAUCUUUCUCUCACUCCUCCGCCCAUCCCCCAAAACCAUUAUCUCAAGGUCGACUACAGUUUCUCUCUAAUCAAGUUUAAAUAUAAAGCAUUGUAAAAAGAGUUCAAAUACGCCUA
rnacentral:sRNA from 1 species